rnacentral:ncRNA from 2 species
CGAUUUCUUCGGGGCAGGGUGUAAUUCCCGACCGACGGUAACAAUGCCUAGCAUUGAAGUCCGUGACCCGCGUGCGUGCGGCUGAUCCAGUGAGAGUCUGGAACCGACUGUAAAGUCAGGAUGGGAGAAGAAAGUA